rnacentral:rRNA from 1 species
UACGAAGGGGGCUAGCGUUGCUCGGAAUCACUGGGCGUAAAGGGUGCGUAGGCGGGUCUUUAAGUCAGGGGUGAAAUCCUGGAGCUCAACUCCAGAACUGCCUUUGAUACUGAAGAUCUUGAGUCAGGGAGAGGUGAGUGGAACUGCGAGUGUAGAGGUGAAAUUCGUAGAUAUUCGCAAGAACACCAGUGGCGAAGGCGGCUCACUGGCCCGGUACUGACGCUGAGGCACGAAAGCGUGGGGAGCAAACAGG